rnacentral:rRNA from 1 species
GAUGAACGCUGGCGGCGUGCCUAAUACAUGCAAGUCGAGCGAACGGACGAGAAGCUUGCUUCUCUGAUGUUAGCGGCGGACGGGUGAGUAACACGUGGAUAACCUACCUAUAAGACUGGGAUAACUUCGGGAAACCGGAGCUAAUACCGGAUAAUAUUUUGAACCGCAUGGUUCAAAAGUGAAAGACGGUCUUGCUGUCACUUAUAGAUGGAUCCGCGCUGCAUUAGCUAGUUGGUAAGGUAACGGCUUACCAAGGCAACGAUGCAUAGCCGAACUGAGAGGGUGAUCGGCCAAACUGGAACUGAGACACGGGCCAGACGCCUACGGGAGGCAGCAGUAGGGAAUCUUCCGCAAUGGGCGAAAGCCUGACGGAGCAACGCCGCGUGAGUGAUGAAGGUCUUCGGAUCGUAAAACUCUGUUAGUAGGGAAGAACAUAUGUGUAAGUAACUGUGCACAUCUUGACGGUACCUAAUCAGAAAGCCACGGCUAACUACGUG